rnacentral:rRNA from 1 species
GCAAGAUAGAGUUUGAUCAUGGCUCAGAAUGAACGCUGGCGGCGUGCUUAACACAUGCAAGUCGUACGAGAACGCUCUAGCUUGCUAGAGCAAGUAAAGUGGCGCACGGGUGAGUAACGCGUGGGUAAUCUACCUUCGAAUUGGGGAUAACGUUGCGAAAGCGACGCUAAUACCGAAUAACAUCCAUUUGUCUUUGGACGUUUGGAUCAAGGGUGGCCUCUACAUGUAAGCUACUGUUUGAAGAUGAGCCCGCGUACCAUUAGCUUGUUGGUAGGGUAAUGGCCUACCAAGGCGACGAUGGUUAGCUGGUCUGAGAGGAUGAUCAGCCACACUGGAACUGACACACGGUCCAGACUCCUACGGGAGGCAGCAGUGAGGAAUUUUGCGCAAUGGGGGAAACCCUGACGCAGCAACGCCGCGUGAGUGAUGAAGGCUUUCGGGUCGUAAAGCUCUGUCAAGUGGGAAGAACCUAUGUAAUGUUAAUACCAUUAUAUACUGACGGUACCACUGAAGGAAGCACCGGCUAACUCCGUGCCAGCAGCCGCGGUAAUACGGGGGGUGCAAGCGUUAUUCGGAAUCAUUGGGCGUAAAGAGCACGUAGGCGGCCUGGUAAGUCAGAUGUGAAAGCCCGGGGCUUACCCCCGGAAGUGCAUUUGAUACUGUCAGGCUUGAGUAUGGGAAAAGGGGAAGUGGAAUUCCUGGUGUAGAGGUGAAAUGCGUAGAUAUCAGGAGGAACACCGGUGGCGAAAGCGACUUCCUGGACCAAUACUGACGCUGAGGCGCGAAGGCGUGGGGGAGCAAACAGGAUUAGAUACCCUGGUAGUCCACGCAGUAAACGGUGAUCACUAGGUGUAGCGGGUAUUGACCCCUGCUGUGCCGCGGCUAACGCAUU